rnacentral:lncRNA from 1 species
ACUUUUCACCUUUUGUCCUGGACUAGGAACUUGAGGAAUCUUCUCCUUCUAUCCUGCUCUCUCUUCCCCCAAUUUGGCAUCACAAAACCAUAAAAAAAACAGACUCUGUGAUUGCCUCAAGAAACUAGAAAACCCAAGGAAAUCAAGAGACGAAUACUAUAAUUAUUAAGAGUAACAGAAGAGUUACACCAAUUAAUGGCCUUCAUAUACUGGGAACAAGCAUUGAUUUCUAUUUUCCACAAUGGAAUGGGUUCAUAGAUUGUCUUCACUUCAUAUAAAGAAUAAUGUAUUUCUAUGAUGAAAUAAACAAAACAUUGAAGUUUGAAAGAAAAUGCUAACAUAUUUCAGCACAUUUGUGACAUACCUGCAAUGUACCUGGAAGCAUAUGGAAGCAUGUGAAAGAUCUAGCACAAGUGGGUUAUCAUCACGUAUUUUCCCCUUAAAGCACUUUUUGUUUUUCCCUAUUUUCCUUCACUCCUCCAAUCCUCGACCACUUCACCUGCUCCUCUCCCCUCAAUUCGUAUCUGCAAGGUGACCAGUGUUAACAACCUCGUGUGUAUUUCUUUUUUCUACAUUCUCUUUUCUCUGGUUUCAUGUUAUAGUGCACAGAAAAUACACACACACACAUACGCCUGUGUGAACAUAGUUCUUUGCCACUAUUUACUUAAUCAAAAAGGAAAGAUCAAAUAGGCCUGUCCAGCUCUCUUUUCUCACU